GUUGGAAAUCAGUCUGAGGGUGCACGAGGAAGAGGACACGCACUUGCUAAUUUUACUUUUCUAUUGAACAUACUUCUUUCCGUAUGAAAUAUUAUAGUUUAUUUACAUUUUAGGGUACUAGAGGGUUGAAUAGAAACAUAGUUUGACUUGUUUAGCCGUAGCUUUUUGGAUUCCUUUGUCUGCAUGUUGGAUGAGUGGAAUACUGAAAUUGAUCGCGCCAACUAAGUAGACUUUUUGAGGUAUAAAGAAGGAUUUUAUUUAACAAAACAACCAUGCAUGUUGUAGCUGGGACCCUUGGGAUUGCAAACAGAGGAAGAUUUUCAAAAAAAGAACUGAGGCAAUGGAAAGAUGUGGGGUGAUGAAAGAGAGCCAUGCCGCCACCACCAUUUCUUCAACAUGAAAGAGAGGAGGAUGGCAUUGCCGUUUCUCUACAGGUGGUUGCCCACAGGAAGUGAUGCAGUCCAGAGGCAUGGUGGGACCUUUGUGCAGCGGUGGUGUGUUAAGUGCAAAUGGAGCAUAUGUUUGAGGGAAAAUUGACACCAAGUGAAGGGAAACCCGAGGCUUUCUGAAUGCUUUGGUGCUUUUAACAAAUUGUGCUGAAAAAUGGUUCCUUACCCUGUGCUUUCUGUUCACAAUGCACAUUAGUGACAUCUGCUGGUCAGCAAUAAAUAGCUGUGUGAUUCACAGAUUUUUUUCCCUCUGUAGCGGUAAAUUGUUGGCUUUAGUAGCCUCUAA